AUUCAAACUAAAGGAAAAUAAUUUGACAUGGACUAAAUUUGAUUGUUAAUUAAUGGAAAAUUUGGCAUGUAAAAUAAGUUCAACAUAGAAAUUAUUUGACCUUGGAAAGUUUGAAUGUAUAUUCCAUGCCUAUCCAUGGUUCACUUACUUUACUACUUAGUUCACCUGUAUACCAAGGCCUGUGAUGUGCCUUCUUUAUCCAAGUGGCCUUUACCUACCAAGUACCUGUAUUACCACAUGAUGUGGAAGAUCUUUUGAAACAGCAGGGCAAGUCGGUGUUGUCAAGGCAGUAUUAUCGUAAGAUUAUACAAAGUUUAUUUGAAGACAUGAUACAAUUUACUCUAUAUCCAACAACAGCUGAGUAUACUGAGGUAGCUAGAGCUAGUUACCAAAUUUAAGAUCUUAGAAGAUAAAUCUGGAACUUCAACAGGACAUGAUAAUAUGUCAGGAGAAAACCAAGUCAGCAUCAAGCAUGUAACAGAUUUAAUGGACCUUUCAAAGAAGUGUAACCCAGACCAGAACAUUAUGGUCGAUAAACUAGAGCGUACAAAGGAA
rnacentral:lncRNA from 1 species